GCCUCUAUCUCCGUCCACACUACCCUCCCCAGACCCCACUUGUGUAAAUUCAGAAAUCUGAAACAAUAUUAUGCUGUAGCAAAUUCCCAUAAAACAAUUUAAUAUAAAAUUUUAGCACAAUUAUCGAAGAUCGCGAAAUACAAUUAAAAAGACUGAAUCUUUGAAAAACUUUCAGAAACGAAUCAAAGGGAAUUAGGAGGUGGGAGAUUUCAGUAAUGGGAGAUAAAACUAAACACUUACGACAAAUGGGUACCUUAAAGGCGUAAACUUUGAUUGAAAAAACAACUCUGAACUGAGAAGUGAAGAAAAGUGUGGGCAAAGGCGUGAAUGGCGUCCGGUCGAGGAAAAACCUUUAACCCUUAGGGUUUAAGCGCGAAUUAUGUUGGUUUGAUAAUAAAUAGAUUUAUAUGUUGGUUUGCUAAUAAGUAGAAACUGGCUCAAACUGGUUUGAUAAUAAAUAG
rnacentral:lncRNA from 1 species